UUCCUUCCGCAGUCACGGGAAGCAGUUCGAGGCGGACCAGAAGCAGAGCUCCACGUCCGCGUUUGCGACCCCGGAGGCCUCUCUCCGGGCGCGGGAGGCGGCGAUGCAGGGCGGCCCGGGCGGGGAGCGCGCGGGGCGCGGGGCCGGGUUCGGAGCCCGGCGCUGUCCGAGGUGCUGGACGCCGGCGGCGCGCGCUGCGGCCGCCGCGGUCCCCGGGCAUCUCCCCGCAGGCCGAGCGCGGCGUCAGGGGCAACCCGCGCGCCUCCCACUCCUGCCUCGGCUAAACGCGUGGACUUACUUCUUGGGAGCUCAAGAUCCCUCCCACCCGGUGGACCAGGGCAGACCCCUGCGGUGCGCUUACCUGGUGAGGACGCUCACCAAAGGAGGCCACCUGAGUGCAGGCCUCCGGUAGGGGCAUGACUUCAAAAGCAAGAUCCGGGGGUGCCUGGCACUCCCGCCCUCCGCUUCGGGCUGGUUACCAAGGGGCACUUCCAGGCUGAACCGCGCCCGGGCGCUGGGAUUAGCCCGGGCCCGGAUCCAGCUGAGUGACUUGCCCAGAACUUCGCCAAGGUUCCUAAAUAAGACCCCUGCGUCAGUGGCUUCCGAGCACCCCUUGCUCCUCCAAGUUCAAGUGAGAACAAGGGAGUUCUUCUUUAAGAGAAGGAAGCGUGGAAGAUGAGAACUGCGCCCAGUUCUUCUGCCCUGCAGGUCUCCUGUGCUCCGUCCCGGGCCCCGCCGCCGGCUGGCAAGCGCCGUUGCCCGCCCGCGCCCGGAGCGCGUCUCCAGCCGCGACGCCGGCGGGCUGUGUGGGUGACUCCCGCUUGCUGGGUACCGGCAAAGCCCAAGGCAUCAGUCCGCAAAGAAAGUGCCGCCCCCGCCCCAGUCUGGGACCUCCCACCUCCAGCCCAGGAGGAGCCCCGCCUUUCCAAACCACAGUCCUGCGGGAGGGACUGCCCAGGUAAACACGCACACGCAUGUUCCAGUUUUCCUUAGAAAAAAGUCCCACCACUUGGGUCGGUUUUAAUCAUUUACGUUUUCCUAGAAAAUUGUCCAUCUCAUUUACAAUUUCAAAUUCACAGGUACAGAGUUACAAUUCGCUUUACCUUAUAAUUUUCAACGCCUCUAAAUCUCAAGGUCCCCUUUUCAUCCCUGAGUUUGCUGCGCUCCCCCCCCCCCCACUAUUUUUGGUGUUUAGAGUUGCCCUUACUUUGUUGUGGUUGAGUUAUAAGAUCUACGAUUUCCGUUCUGUGGCCUAUUCAAUGACUAAUUUAAAUGCAGAAACCAUUUUUCCUCACACUCAGUGAAAGAAAAAAAUGAGCAUUCUGUGUUUUUGCAUACAAACAUAAAAAUACACUGUGAAUUUUGCAGAAUUACCCUCCACAUCUUUACUAGUCUAUGUUGGUUAGGAGCAGAGUCUGAAGUCAGACUGCAUGGAUUUAUUCUUUUUUAAUAUUUUUUUUAUUUAUUUGAGAAACCGAGAGUGAGAGGGAGCACAAGCACGGGGAGCAGCGAGGGAGCAGAGAAGCAGAGGACCCCGGGAUCACGGCCUGAGCCCAAGGCAGGCUCUGAACUGACUGAGCCCCCCUGGUGUCCCAGACUACGUGGAUUUGAAUCCCAGCUCAAGCACUUACCAGCCGUGGAUCACUGGUGAGUCACUAACUGGUCUGUGCCUCAGCUUCCCUCUCCAUAGAAUCAGUUAACACUAGUGUCUGCUGCAAGAGGCAGCUACAUUUACGCCGAGCCCCGUGUACCUGCAAGCUGUUCCCCCGCUCUGUUGUGUGUCAACCAGGAUCCACGUCAUGGGACCAGAGACGCACGCAACUGAGUUAACACAUGGGCAGUAUUUAGUGUGGUGUGCGGUGAGGACUAAACAUCAUACGUGUCUUCGCUCUGUCACCCGACCUGUCAAUAUUCACAGGAAACUGUUGAAGUGUUUCAGGAUGUUUGGAUCCGUUUAUUCAAGAAAAACGUAUUGGUCUGUGUGACCAGAUCUACGUUUUUCUGGCUGUGCGCUAGUCAGCUGUGAACAGGAAAGACCAGUUCUCUGCUUUCGUGGAGGGACCUUCUCAAAAUCCGGACUUGUCAGCAUCUCUUGGGGGUAUGAGCCAGUGUUCUGCUGUUCCGCGACCCCGUUUCAUGCAGGAGAACACGAGGUAAACGUUCUGCACCCUCUUCUAAACCCUCCUUCUGGUGGAAUCUCAGUCGCGUCCCGGGAGCUGCGCCCUAUGUGCCCGACCCACUUGGUCCAUAACGAUAAUCAUAAUUUUCAAAAAUAAUCAUCGCUUCUAGUAGCGAUUAACAGCUUCGAAUCGCUGCUGUUGCCAGUACGUUCCCGCCAGAGGCGUCUAGGGACACACCU